GACGAACGCUGGCGGCGUGCUUAACACAUGCAAGUCGAACGGAAAGGCCCUGCUUUUGUGGGGUGCUCGAGUGGCAAACGGGUGAGUAACACGUGAGUAACCUGCCCUUGACUUUGGGAUAACUUCAGGAAACUGGGGCUAAUACCGGAUAGGAGCUCCUGCUGCAUGGUGGGGGUUGGAAAGUUUCGGCGGUUGGGGAUGGACUCGCGGCUUAUCAGCUUGUUGGUGGGGUAGUGGCUUACCAAGGCUUUGACGGGUAGCCGGCCUGAGAGGGUGACCGGCCACAUUGGGACUGAGAUACGGCCCAGACUCCUACGGGAGGCAGCAGUGGGGAAUAUUGCACAAUGGGCGGAAGCCUGAUGCAGCAACGCCGCGUGCGGGAUGACGGCCUUCGGGUUGUAACCGCUUUCGCCUGUGACGAAGCGUGAGUGACGGUAAUGGGUAAAGAAGCACCGGCUAACUACGUG
rnacentral:rRNA from 1 species